GGAAAGAUGAAAAGAACUUUGAAAAGAGAGUUAAACAGUACGUGAAAUUGUUGAAAGGGAAACGAUUGAAGCCAGUCGUACCGGCGGGUAAUCAGCCUUUCGGGUAUGAUUCUGUGGAGCGUGAGGAGUUAAACGCCUUCAUGCCUGCAUAUUCGUGCUCUUGGGUGUACUUGCUCGUGUGGUUGGUUAACAUCAAUUUCGGUUAUCAUAAAAUGGCUGGAGGAAUGUAGCUUCGAUCUCGUAUUGAAGUGUUAUAGCCUUCGGCAGAUGUGAUGAUUGGGAUUGAGGAUUGCAACGGAUACCCUUCGGGGCUACCUGUCUGAUUUCUGAUCGUUGCUCUGGUGCCGAAAGCUUGCUUACGGUUAUCAAAGUCGAUGGUCAAUAGGUUAGAAUGGGUUAAAUUCGUUAAGGAUGUUGACGUAAUGGCUUUAAACGACCCGUCUUGAAACACGGACCA
rnacentral:rRNA from 1 species